rnacentral:rRNA from 1 species
GUAGGGCGGGACACGUGGUAUCCUGUCUGAAUAUGGGGGGACCAUCCUCCAAGGCUAAAUACUCCUGACUGACCGAUAGUGAACCAGUACCGUGAGGGAAAGGCGAAAAGAACCCCGGCGAGGGGAGUGAAAAAGAACCUGAAACCGUGUACGUACAAGCAGUGGGAGCACCCUUUGGGGUGUGACUGCGUACCUUUUGUAUAAUGGGUCAGCGACUUAUAUUCUGUAGCAAGGUUAACCGUAUAGGGGAGCCGUAGGGAAACCGAGUCUUAACCGGGCGUUAAGUUGCAGGGUAUAGACCCGAAACCCGGUGAUCUAGCCAUGGGCAGGUUGAAGGUUGGGUAACACUAACUGGAGGACCGAACCGACUAAUGUUGAAAAAUUAGCGGAUGACCUGUGGCUGGGGGUGAAAGGCCAAUCAAACCGGGAGAUAGCUGGUUCUCCCCGAAAGCU